GUGAGACCGUGGUAGUAAACCCCCAUUGGGGUACACGCCACGUAAAAGGAAAUAUUAGUCUUCGGUUUGUAUAGCCAAUGAAAUACCACUACUCUUAUUAUUUCCUUACUUACUUGAUGAAGUUGAACGUGUAUCAUUGCAAGUUUCUUGAUUAAAAUAUCACGAGUUUGUUAUAUAAUCGCAAACAAAUUCUUUAAUGACAAAAUGCAGCAAUGUGUUUUUUGUAUUUUUAGACUCAUUCACGAAAGUGAAAUGAGUAUAUUGGUUUUGUGCAAUGUCCGUCUUGCUGUCCGUCCGUCUGUCCGUCCGUCCGUCUGUCCGUAUGAACGCAAUCUAUUUCGGCGCUAUUGAAGCUAGAGACUUGAAAUUUGGAACACAUACUCGUGUAUAUCUCCGAUUUAUAAAGUGUUAAAAUUUUCCCGAUCCGCCCACUAGGGGCGUGGCAAAUCGGAAAAUGCAUUUUCCGAUAUACCAGAAAUCAUGUUUGUUGAAGAGCUAGAAAGCUGAAAUUUGGUAUGUAGGUCCGCGUCGACCACCCAAGAUCACGAGCUAUGGUAGAUAUAUGUCCGCCCAUAGGGGGCGUGGUAAACCGCAAAAGUUUAUAUCUCCUACAGUCUAAGAGCAAGAAGCUUCAAAUUUGAAUAGUUAAGUUACUGGUAGCCUCCUCUAUCGAAGCCCCAAAAAUAAUUUUUAAGCCUCUUUAGGGGCGUGGCAUAUCGAAAAAUACCCUGUAAUUUUCACAUUUUUUGAGCGUAAGAAUUCAAUUCUAAGAACUGGCUAAAAUUGAGGAGUCUACGGCCACUAGGGGCGUGGCAAUCGGCAUUUACAGUGCCCGAAUUGCGACAUUUAUAUGCGUCAGCCAUCUAUUUAUGUAUAUGUACACAUAAGUAGGCUUAAUAGGCAUUGAUAGCGCGGAAGGAAACAUUUUUAUAAAAUUAAUAAAAUAUAAAAAAGUUAAAAUAACAAAAAUUUGCCAUUUACAAAAAAGUGUUUUCCACGGGAUUUGAACUUGUCAAAAUAGCUAAAAUAAAGAUCGUCGGCGCUUCAGCCUAUAGCACCACCGCGUCGUUUCUAUCGACAGUAGUUAAAACGAAAUCACAUUAUUGUUAUGACGCCACAUAGCAAAGAAAAGCCAGUGUAGCUUGGAAAUUGUAUUGUAGUUGGAAAUUCAAAAACAAUGCAAAGACAAAUCAAUCGCAACGGGAUUCUUAGAAUAUGCUAGAGCACGCAUUUAUGUGUACAUACAUACACACAUACAAAUGAGCGCGUGUAUAAGGCUGGAAUGCUUGAUGCUAUGCGUGCAGACUUACAUAUAUACAUAUGUAUGUAUUUGCGUAUAUGUAUUUUAGAGCUAUUUAAGAAGAAACAAAUUUAAACUUAUAAAAUUUUUCGACUAAGAAAAAGAAGAGUAUUAAGUGCCAUUCAUUCAAGCUCGCACCUUCCCAAUAAAAUAUCUAUUUUAUAAAAAACGAAAUAUGUAUGAAAAAAAAAAAAAAUAAAUAACAUAGUAAAGGUUCGAACCUCCUCUGCUCUAACAUUACUUGCGUCGCCCUUAGCACCCGCGCCACUGCUUUGCUCAAGCAGUCAGUUGCUAAAAUAGAAUAGCUUAAUUAGAGAGCGUCAUCAGACAAAACUACAGUAACGGCUAGAAAGUCCAGAAAUCAAUCGAAAUUCUAAGAAUGUGAGAAAAGGCGCGCUUCUGUCUGUACGCAUAGAAUAGACGAUGAGUGUGUGCACAAGCAUAGGAAAAUCGCGCUGAUGUGCUGUUAGCUUGAAGCCGGUAUCCAAUGUAUGGAUAUAAAUAUAUAAUAAAAAUCAAAAUUGUAUAAAUUAUAUAUGUAUGUAAUUUGAAUGCAAUAGCUAUCGAUGAUUUUCCAAUUUUAAUGGCAUCAUGCCGUGUUUUUUGCUGGGCACUAGACUUGAAAAUUGCACUAUAUACUCUGGUUGACAGCGUUUGGGCUGUGAAUGAGUCUUCUGCAAUCGGUAUCGCCCGACUGCAACGUUCUUACUUGUUUGAUUUAAUAAUUUGGUAUAACUCCAAUUACUCAGGUAUGAUCCAAUUCAAGGACAUUGCCAGGUAGGGAAUUUGACUGGGGCGGUACAUCUCUCAAAUAAUAAAGGAGGUGUCCCAAGGCCAGCUCAGUGCGGACAGAAACCACACAUAGAGCAAAAGGGCAAAUGAUGACUUGAUCUCGGUGUUCAGUACACAAAGGGACAGCAAAAUCUCGGCCUAUCGAUUCUUUUGGUUUAAAGAGUUUUGAACUAGAGGGUUCAGAAAUCUUACCGUAGGGCUAUCUGGAAUGAGGGGGUCAAGUGUUCAUAGAGAAGUCGGUUUUUGAUCUUUCGAAGUCGGCUCUUCCUAUCAUAAGAAGCAAAAUUCACCAAGCGUUGGAUUGUUCACCCAUGCAAGGGAACGUGAGUUAAAGUAGACCGUCGUGAGACAGGUUAGUUUUACCCUACUAAUGACAAAACGUUGUUGCGACAGCAUUCCUGCGUAGUACGAGAGGAACCGCAGGUACGGACCAAUGGCACAAUACUUGUUCGAGCGAACAGUGGUAUGACGCUACCUCCGUUGGAUUGGCCUCUAUGGUCCUAUCCAUGCUGGACUGUAAUGAUAAAUAAGGGGCAAUUUGCAUUGUAUGGCUUCUAAACCGUUAAAAGUCUAUAAUUCAUUUUAUAGACGACAAUGGAUUUGAUACCAAUGUUAUAUAUAACAUAGUAAAUUGGGAGGAUCUUCGAUCACCUGAUGCCGCGCUAGUUAUAUUUUAAAAUAUUAUUUAAUACAAUCAAUUGUAAACGACUUUUGUAAUAGGCAAAGUGUUGUAAGUGGUUGAGCAGCUGCCAUACUGCGAUCCACUGAAGCUUAUCCUUUGCCUGAUAUGAUUC
rnacentral:ncRNA from 1 species